rnacentral:rRNA from 1 species
GAUGAACGCUGGCGGCGUGCCUAAUACAUGCAAGUCGAGCGAACAGACGAGGAGCUUGCUCCUCUGACGUUAGCGGCGGACGGGUGAGUAACACGUGGAUAACCUACCUAUAAGACUGGGAUAACUUCGGGAAACCGGAGCUAAUACCGGAUAAUAUAUCGAACCGCAUGGUUCAAUAGUGAAAGACGGUUUUGCUGUCACUUAUAGAUGGAUCCGCGCCGCAUUAGCUAGUUGGUAAGGUAACGGCUUACCAAGGCAACGAUGCGUAGCCGACCUGAGAGGGUGAUCGGCCACACUGGAACUGAGACGCGGUCCAGACUCCUACGGGAGGCAGCAGUAGGGAAUCUUCCGCAAUGGGCGAAAGCCUGACGGAGCAACGCCGCGUGAGUGAUGAAGGUCUUCGGAUCGUAAAACUCUGUUAUUAGGGAAGAACAAAUGUGUAAGUAACUAUGCACGUCUUGACGGUACCUAAUCAGAAAGCCACGGCUAACUACGUG